rnacentral:rRNA from 1 species
UCCGGGGGGUGCAAGCGUUAUUCGGAAUCAUUGGGCGUAAAGAGCGCGUAGGCGGUCUUCUAUGUCAGGUGUGAAAGCCCGGGGCUCAACCUCGGAAGUGCACUUGAAACUGGGAGACUUGAGUAUGGGAGAGGGAAGUGGAAUUCCUGGUGUAGCGGUGAAAUGCGUAGAUAUCAGGAGGAACACCGGUGGCGAAGGCGACUUCCUGGACCAAUACUGACGCUGAGGCGCGAAGGCGUGGGGAGCAAACAGG